UACAGAGGGUGCAAGCGUUGUUCGGAAUUAUUGGGCGUAAAGGGCGCGUAGGCGGUGCGGUAAGUCUGUAGUGAAAUCUCUGGGCUCAACUCAGAGUCUGCUGCAGAAACUGCCGUGCUUGAGUGUGGGAGAGGUGAGUGGAAUUCCCGGUGUAGCGGUGAAAUGCGUUAGAUAUCGGGAGGAACACCUGUGGCGAAAAGCGGCUCACUGGACCACAACUGACGCUGAGGCGGCGAAAAGCCUAGGGG
rnacentral:rRNA from 1 species